UGGGGAAUUUUCCGCAAUGGGCGAAAGCCUGACGGAGCGACGCCGCGUGAGGGAUGACGUUCUUCGGAAUGUAAACCUCUGUCAGGGGGGACGAUGAUGACGGUACCCCCAAAGGAAGCAUCGGCUAACUACGUGCCAGCAGCCGCGGUAAGACGUAGGAUGCGAGCGUUGUUCGGAAUUAUUGGGCGUAAAGCGUGCGUAGGCGGCGCGUUAAGUCUGGUGUUAAAGCUAGGGGCUCAACCCCUGUGAUGCACUGGAAACUGGCGGGCUCGAGAACGGUAGGGGAAGGUGGAAUUCCCAGUGUAGCGGUGAAAUGCGUAGAUAUUGGGAAGAACACCGGUGGCGAAGGCGACCUUCUGGGCCGCUUCUGACGCUGAGGCACGAAAGCCUGGGGAGCGAACCGG
rnacentral:rRNA from 1 species